UGGGGAAUAUUGGACAAUGGGCGCAAGCCUGAUCCAGCCAUGCCGCGUGGAUGAAGAAGGCCCUAGGGUUGUAAAGUCCUUUCGACGGAGACGAUAAUGACGGUAUCCGUAGAAGAAGCCCCGGCUAAUUUCGUGCCAGCAGCCGCGGUAAUACGAAAGGGGCUAGCGUUGUUCGGAAUUACUGGGCGUAAAGCGCACGUAGGCGGUCGUGUAAGAUGGGGGUGAAAUCCCGGAGCUCAACUCCGGAACUGCCUUCAUGACUGCAUGGCUAGAGGAUGCGAGAGGUUGGCGGAAUUCCGAGUGUAGAGGUGAAAUUCGUAGAUAUUCGGAAGAACACCAGUGGCGAAGGCGGCCAACUGGCGCAUUUCUGACGCUGAGGUGCGAAAGCGUGGGGAGCAAACAGGAUUAGAUACCCAUGUAGUCCCUGAGCGGGCUGGCAAGGCGCAU
rnacentral:rRNA from 1 species